rnacentral:rRNA from 1 species
UACGUAGGGUGCAAGCGUUGUCCGGAAUUAUUGGGCGUAAAGAGCUCGUAGGCGGUCAGUCGCGUCUGCUGUGAAAACUCGGGGCUUAACUCCGGGCCUGCAGUGGGUACGGGCUGACUAGAGUGCGGUAGGGGAGACUGGAAUUCCCGGUGUAGCGGUGAAAUGCGCAGAUAUCGGGAGGAACACCGGUGGCGAAGGCGGUUCUCUGGGCCUUACCUGACGCUGAGGAGCGAAAGCGUGGGGAGCGAACAGG